CAGAUCCAAAUGCCUUUAGAAGUUCAUCAAUGGCUCGAAUGAAGCUCUAAUUUGGACAAGUGAUGAUUGACGAUGAUAGUAGCUUGGGUGGUGGUUUUGGAAGGAUUGGGUGCCGGUCUACCAUGUUUGGAUGCAACUGGAGGUUGUUUGGUCAGUUAUGGAAUACAUUGCUGGAGGAGAGCUAUUUGACAAGUUUGUAGCGCAACGCUUCAGUGACCAUGAGGUAAGUAUUCUUGAUUAUGUCUAAUGGAGGUCUGAACAAGCCAACGGUUCAUAAUCAUUUAUCUCUUGGCGAUUCGAUUGACUUUGUGAAGGUUUAAGAGGUAAUUUAAUUAGUUUUUUUUUAAUUGAUCAAUGCUAACUUCUUUUGAUUUUGAGUUCUUUAAUUUAGGGUAUAAUAUUUUAAAUGAAGUUUCACUCAGUGAUUCAGUGUUAUUAAGUUUAGUGUUUGAUAUGUUAAAACGAAAGUUUGAUUUUGGUGAUUCAGUGUUCUUUAAUUCAAGGUUACAUAUUUUUAACGAGGUUUAAUUUUGGUGCAUCAGUUGCAGGCUCUGCUGAGUUGCAGGGCUCUGCUGCAAUUGUUAAUUCCUUGGUCAUCUGCUGCAAUAGUUCAGCAUGAAGCUCAUUUUAAUUUAUCAUUUUAUAUGAGAUGUCAAAAAGAUUGUUUAACAUGCUUUCUUCAAUUUCAAUUUUCUAUAUUGUAUAUGAGGACUCAGUAAAGUCAAACCGUGGAAGCAAACCUUUAGGAAAUUACUAUAGAAAGAAAAAAGAUGAGUUAAAGAUCGGGGACCAGCCGUAAAUUACUAUAGUGAGAAAAAUUGAAGGCGCAAUUGCGAGAAGAGGGUAGUAGUGGCGGACAAAGACUAUGAUGCUUCAGUAUUUUAAUGGCACCGUUGCCAUCAGCGAUCCUGAAUCACCAGUAUCGACUUCAUUUUCAUGUUUUAAUUUAGCUCCCAGGUGCCAUCCUUGCGCAAGAAAGUUCACAUGGCCAAAAGUUACGGACAAGUCAACUGUCCCCACAAUAUUUUUGACUGGUUAACG